GAUGAACGUUGGCGGCGUGCCUAACACAUGCAAGUCGAACGGAAAUAGCAAUAUUUGAGUGGCGCACGGGUGAGUAACACGUAGCUAAUCUACCUCAAAGCGCGGGAUAACGUGUCGAAAGACAGGCUAAUACCGCAUAAGCUCCCGGUCUGUAGAGGGUUGGGAGAAAAGGCGUAAGUCACUUUGAGAUGAGGCUGCGGCCCAUCAGCUAGUUGGUGCGGUAAUGGCGUACCAAGGCGACGACGGGUAGGGGACCUGAGAGGGUGACCCCCCACACUGGGACUGAGACACGGCCCAGACUCCUACGGGAGGCAGCAGUGAGGAAUAUUGCACAAUGGGCGAAAGCCUGAUGCAGCGACGCCGCGUGGGUGAAGAAGGUUUUCGGAUCGUAAAACCCUUUUCUGUGUGACGAGCAAGGACGGUAGCACAGGAAUAAGUCUCGGCUAACUACGUG
rnacentral:rRNA from 1 species